CCUACGGGAGGCAGCAGUCGAGAAUCAUUCACAAUGGGGGAAACCCUGAUGGUGCGACGCCGCGUGGGGGAAUGCAGGUCUUCGGAUUGUAAACCCCUGUCAUGUGGGAGCAAAUUAAAAAGAUAGUACCACAAGAGGAAGAGACGGCUAACUCUGUGCGAGCAGCCGCGGUAAUACAGAGGUCUCAAGCGUGGUUCGGAAUCACUGGGCGUAAAGCGUGCGUAGGCUGUUGCGUAAGUCGUGUGUGAAAGGCGCGGGCUCAACCCGCGGAGGGCAAAUGAUACUGCGAGACUAGAGUGAUGGUGGGGGAACCGGAAUGUUCGGUGUAGCAGUGAAAUGCGUAGAUAUC
rnacentral:rRNA from 1 species